rnacentral:rRNA from 1 species
GUAGGUGGCAAGCGUUGUCCGGAAUUAUUGGGCGUAAAGCGCGCGCAGGCGGGUCCUUUAAGUCUGAUGUGAAAGCCCACGGGCUCAACCGUGGAGGGUCAUUGGAAACUGGGGGACUGAGUACAGAAGAGGAAAGCGGAAUUCCAAGUGUAGCGGUGAAAUGCGUAGAGAUUUGGAGGAACACCAGUGGCGAAGGCGGCUUUCUGGUCUGUAACUGACGCUGAGGCGCGAAAGCGUGGGGAGCAAACAGGAUUAGAUACCCUGGUAGUCCACGCCGUAAACGAUGAGUGCUAAGUGUUAGGGGGUUUCCGCCCCUUAGUGCUGCAGCUAACGCAUUAAGCACUCCGCCUGGGGAGUACGGCCGCAAAGGCUG